rnacentral:tRNA from 1 species
GCGAGGAUAGCUGAGUUGGGAGAGCGUCAGAUUGAAGAUUUGAAGGUUACGUGUUUGAUCCACGUUUAUCACA